GACACGCUCCUUAGAUCCACCUCUGGGGGGCGCUGUUCUCUGAGCAGACGCCCUCAGCAGCUUUCUGGCUGUACAGUUGGAGGUGCCUGAGUCAUUGGCGUGUGAGAACAGUCUACCUGUUCCCCGGCUCACCUGCACCACUGGCAGAUUUAUCCAGUGUUGCUAGCCAGGGGGACGGACAUC